GUUGGUGGAUCUCAGGUUUACAGGAAAAACAAACAACAAACAAAGUAGAUCCCACAAGCUUGGAAUCUGCCCACCCCUGCUCUAAUCCACUUGCUCAGCGCAGAAAGUCCCCAACAGCCGCUGCUUGAAGACCUCAAGCAAAAGAGAGAGAGAGAGAGAGAAACCACCAUCUCUCUAGGUUUAGUAUGUAUGCAUUUGUCCAACACGCAAUGCCUGGCUUUAUGAACACCAUUUCAUCUAAAAGUGCUGACCAAGCACUCUUCCUCCAGCAGGAGCCCAGGGUGGCAAACAAAAACAUUAAAAACAGUUGAAAACAUCAUACAAACAAGACU